rnacentral:rRNA from 1 species
AUACGUAGGUGGCAAGCGUUGUCCGGAAUUAUUGGGCGUAAAGCGCGCGCAGGUGGUUCCUUAAGUCUGAUGUGAAAGCCCCCGGCUCAACCGGGGAGGGUCAUUGGAAACUGGGGAACUUGAGUGCAGAAGAGGAUAGUGGAAUUCCAAGUGUAGCGGUGAAAUGCGUAGAGAUUUGGAGGAACACCAGUGGCGAAGGCGACUGUCUGGUCUGUAACUGACACUGAGGCGCGAAAGCGUGGGGAGCAAACAGGAUUAGAUACCCUGGUAGUCCACGCCGUAAACGAUGAGUGCUAAGUGUUAGGGGGUUUCCGCCCCUUAGUGCUGCAGCUAACGCAUUAAGCACUCCGCCUGGGGAGUACGGUCGCAAGACUGAAACUCAAAUGAAUUGACGGGG